rnacentral:rRNA from 1 species
UUGUAGUCUGNAACCGACUACAUGAAGCUGGAAUCGCUAGUAAUCGCGGAUCAGAAUGCCGCGGUGAAUACGUUCCCGGGUCUUGUACACACCGCCCGUCACACCAUGGGAGGUCGGAAAUGCCCGAAGCCGGUGACUCAACCUUUAAGGAGAGAGCCGUCGAAGGCAGGUCUGAUAACUGGGGUGAAGUCGUAACAAGGUAGC